rnacentral:lncRNA from 1 species
UUGUGAUGUANCCUCACUCUACCUUACUCUCACACUCUACCUCACUUUACCUUACUCUCUCACUCUUCCUCACUCUACCUUACUCUCACACUCUACCUCACUUUACCUUACUCUCUCACUCUUCCUCACUCUACCUUACUCUCUCACUCUACCUCACUCUACCUUACUCUCUCACUCUACCUUACUCUCUCACUCUUUCUCACUCUGCCUUACUCUCUCAGUCUACCUUACUCUCACACUCUACCUCACUUUACCUUACUCUCUCACUCUUCCUCACUCUACCUUACUCUCUCACUCUACCUCACUCUACCUUACUCUCUCACUCUAUCUUACUCUCUCACUCUUUCUCACUCUGCCUUACUCUCUCAGUCUACCUUACUCUCUCACUCUACCUCACUCUACCUUACUCUCUCACUCUACCUCACUCUACCUUACUCUCACUCUAUCUUACUCUCUCACUCUGCCUUACUCUCUCAGUCUACCUUACUCUCUCACUCUACCUCACUCUACCUUACUCUCUCCCUCUACCUCCCUCUACUUUACUUUCUCACUCUACCUCACUCUUUUACUUUACCUUAUUUUCAUUCUACCUUGCUCUACUUACUCUCUCACUCUUCCUCACUCUACCUUACUUUCUCACUCUACCUUACUCUACCUUACUCUCUCACUCUGCUUUUGCUAACCUUGCUCUUCCUUUCUCCAACACGAUACCUCUUCCUCUUUUUAUCUCGCUCUGACUUACUCUACCUCACUUUACCUACCACACUAAUUUAUUCAGCCUCACUCUACCUCACUACGUCACUCUGCCUUCUGCCUUGCUCUGACUCACUCUACUUCACUCUGCUGUACUCUACCUCGUUAUGUCACGUAAGCACAGUCUGCAGUGUGAAUAGCUCCCUCUGUUGCUGCAUGCGAGUAAUGCAGUUUGAGUUUACUGUUAUUCACUACAAUGUUACAGCACCUCUUUUGAUGUGUUUAUUGUGAAAAACUCAUAUGACAAUAAUGAUAAAAAAAAAUUUAUAGCCCA